rnacentral:rRNA from 1 species
UAAGACGAACCGUGCGAACGUUAUUCGGAAUCACUGGGCUUAAAGGGCGCGUAGGCGGGUCAUCAAGUCAGGGGUGAAAUACUUCGGCCUAACCGGAGAACGGCUUCUGAUACUGGUGACCUCGAGGGGUGUAGGGGCAUGUGGAACUUCCGGUGGAGCGGUGAAAUGCGUAGAUAUCGGAAGGAACGCCGGUGGCGAAAGCGACGUGCUGGACACCUUCUGACGCUGAGGCGCGAAAGCCAGGGGAGCAAACGGGAUUAGAUACCCCGGUAGUCCUGGCCCUAAACGAUGGGUACUAGAUUGUAGGCUGACAUGGGCUUACAGUCGGAGCAAAAGUGUUAAGUACCCCGCCUGGGGAGUAUGGUCGCAAGGCUG